AAAAGAAAACUCAAAAAAUUUAAGUUACAAUUUUUACUUUGAAAGUAUUUGAUGAAAUGACUAAGUUAAAAAUAUGUGACUUCUUGCCUAAAUUGAAAGUGUUUUGUGAGGAUUAACAACACAUUGGCCUCUAGUUUAUAAUGUUGCUAAUUAUAUUUAAUUUUGGUAUUUUGUUAUUUGUAUUUUUAGAUAAAAUUUUAAAAAGUAUCACAAUUAUUUUUAUAUAUAAACGGGUUUUUCGGUUUUUUAACCUGCAAGAAUUUUUAUCGGUUUUUAAAUGAUUCGGUUGAUUUCCGGUUUUUAGAAACCUGAACCGAAAAUUUCGGAAAAUUCCCGAAAAUUCGGUUCUGAAAUGCACAGGCCUACUUGUCAGUCCUGUAUUUCUCACUACACACCCCCACCCUCAACCGCCGUCGCCGCCAACAUCACCGUCACCGUCGUUGCCAUCGCCCGGUUCCUUCUCUUUCAAUUUCAACACGGUACACGUAGGGAUUAAAGGAGCUCUAACUGUUGAUUGGUUUACCUGAUCUGUUUUAUUUAAACUUUCAUGAGGUCUGACAGCCAUCACUAGCGCCACUUGUCUGCGUAUGAUAUUCACUUAUUCAAUUUUCAGAAAUUAGGGCUCCUUAUUCGCCGCAUUAUACAGAAUGUCCGAGACGCCAGAACUCUUCUCUCAAUUCGACAUCUCAAACCAUGUGAGAAAAGGAGAAACUGGUUGGGGAAAUGAUCCGCUAUAUCCUGUUCAAGACUGAGAAAAAUUCAGGGUGUCCAAUAAGAAGGGAAGAAUUGACUCAGUUGAUUACUGGUAAAGGGUACAAACAGAGAAAUUUGCCCGCUCAAGCUCUCAUCGAUUUUUGGCUAUGAAAUGAAAGAACUUCAGCGGUCUCGGGCUUCUGUUUCAGUUAAUCCAGGGCGUGCCUCGCAAUCACAGCAAUAUAUCUUCAGAAAGAAAAAGUCAACGGCCCUGAAGGAAGUUCUGUAUAUUAUGAGCUUGCUGAGAGGGCUCUAGAUGGAACGAUUAAUGACAGAAUCAAACAAUAUGUAUCCCAGAUUGUGCAAAAAGAUGUCACCUCAUUUGAUGCUGAUUAACUUUCUUUUUGGUGGGAUUGUUUUUCUACAAGUUCACCUACCUAAAGAAGAGAUCUUUGUCUAUAUUCUCAAACCAAUCCACAAUUGCUCUAAUGUUAGCCAGUUUCAGAAACCGUGUAGUUAAUGAAGGACUUGUUUUGUUAUUAAUCACCUCAGGAGAUUUCCAGUUAAAUUGUUUAUAUGAUGUAGCCAUUUGGAGUUGAAGCCUGUUUAUGCUUGAUAGAACUGUAAUCUUUUCACUAGGUUAAAUUACUUGUUCUGUCUUUAGCCGGAAGAAAUUCCCUAUCAUCGUCUUUGCAGAUGGAACAAAAAUAUCACAUGAAUGAUGGUGCCAAAAUUGAUGAGGAUUUUUCCUUUAGAAUGUUUCAACUAAAAUGUGUAGAUGUCUGUUGUCGUUUCGUUGGUAGCUCUAGUUCAGGCUCAAAUGCUGAGAGGUGGAAUGUAUUGAUCAUUUGCAUAUCAGCAGAACUGGGAAGUUCUGUAUAUUUCAAAUAUUCUCUUAUAUGAUUUCUGAAAGUGGUUGAGCAAUAUAAAUUUAUGCACAUCAUGAACCUAAUUCAUCAUUAUUUCUUGUCAUUCCUAUUUCAUGAUAUUGCGGCAUCAUUAUGGAUAACAUUAAAAUGUCGACAAGGAAUAGAAGAAUGGAGUGAUAUUUGGAAUAGAAGAAUGGAGUGAUAUUUCUUGGAUUUCGUCCGAUUUUUCCCGAGGAUGGCGUCCUCUCAGGGGAUUCUGGCUAUUAAAAAUGAGGUUGCAAGUGCAAAUGAUGCAUGGCGUGUAUCAACUUACAAAAAGCUUAAAGAACUUGCACCAUUGAGCUUAAAGGUUUUCUUAACAUCUGUAAGACGUCCUUCCUCCGCAAACGAUUACUGUGUGGGUGACUUGCGUUGAUGCCUGUACAGAUACAAGAAGGAAGGUUUCAAACUCUCGAGCAGUGCCUUGUACAUGAGUACAGAAUGUCCGAACAAGCAAUCUACGGGUAGAUAAUCGGUGACUUCUGUGAGGUGAUAAACAACAAAACAAAUCCUUCAUUAACUAACAGAGAGUUUCUCCAACUGGCUGACAUUCCUCACAUCACUCAUGUAUUUCAUCUUCAUGCUCCUAAAAUGUGUAUACCAGCACUUCU